GACGAACGCUGGCGGCGUGCUUAACACAUGCAAGUCGAACGGAAAGGCCCUGCUUGCAGGGUGCUCGAGUGGCGAACGGGUGAGUAACACGUGGGUGAUCUGCCCCUUACUUUGGGAUAAGCCUGGGAAACUGGGUCUAAUACUGGAUAGGACCAUGCUGUAGGUGGUGUGGUGGAAAGAUUAGUUUCGGUAAGGGAUGAGCUCGGGGCCUAUCAGCUUGUUGGUGGGGUAAUGGCCUACCAAGGCGUCGACGGGUAGCCGGCCAGAGAGGGUGGACGGCAAGAUUGGGACUGAGAUACGGGCCAGCAUCCUACGAGAGGGAGCAGUGGGGAAUAUUGCAAAAUAGGCGCAAGGCUGAUGUAGAGACGCCGCGUGGGGGAUGAAGGACUUCGGGUUGUAAACUACUUCAAGAAAUGAAGAAGCCCUUGUGGUGACGGUAGUGGUAGAAGAAGCACCGGCUAACUACGUG
rnacentral:rRNA from 1 species